CCCCGUCCCAAGCCUGUUGAGAUCUAUCAUGUGUGAACUGACAAAAGCUUACACAGGAAGGAUGAGGUUUGGUUCCAGUCAGCCUCACAGCUAGCCCGGUGCUGACAGCACUUUUUGAGGAGAGAGACAGAAGAAAGUUUUUUUUAGCCUCAGACAGAGAAGGGCAAGUAACCCUUCUCUCUUGUUUCUUGGGCAAACACACCAACCCACUCAGGUAUUUCGCUUAUGAUUUCAGAGAAUGGAGGACAUCCAAGAAAUGUUUUAUUUGUGUACAACACACCAUAGAAGGCCAGAGCAGACACCAGAGAGCUGAAGAACUAACACAGAAGCAGUAUUUGAGUUUGUGGUUUUGGAAUUACACUGCUGAAAUGAAUUGCGACGUACCUGAUACCACCAGUCAGAAGACCAUGGGAGGUGCCUGUCAUGUCACUGGCUCAUCAAAUUCCCUUUUGAACAUAUGCACACCUCCUACGAGUUGUGCCAGUGACCAUUUCGACACAUUUCCCUCUCAUCUUCAUUUAUUAAGGAAGCAAAUAUUUUUCCUGAGAUGCUCCACCAGAACUCUCCUACAGGCUUUCCUACACAUGACUUUUGAGCCUUGGCUCGUCUUCUGAUACUGCUUAAAAUCAAAGGCAGAUAUGCCAUUCAUGUCAGUAGCAGACUUGCAUGGUGACUUUUCUUGUGAGUAGCUUGGUAGGAUUGUCUGUUCUGCUCUAAACUUUGGUGCCCUUAGGAGGGGAUUAUAAUUUUCUAGCUACCCUUGCUUUUUACCUUGUUGCCUUAGCCAUGGAAUCCUGAAUCCUGUUCAUUAACAGCUUGGAAACAGACUUUUCAACAUGUGGCAUGUUUUCAAAUACUGGAUGUUUAGAAUAUUUGCAGCAUAGAAAAUAGUUAUAUCAUAUACCUAAAUAUGCUCUCUUGAGGUAAAUAAACCAAGCUUUAAGAGAAUAUGUGGAUGACUAGCCUGUGACAUUAAGCUUUUAGUUCCUCUUCAGACAGCUGUAACAUAUGGAAAAAUACUCCCAAAACCUUAAAAAUAUGUAAAUUAAGUAGAAAGUACCUAUUCCAAGUCAUUUUAUAGACUGGAAGUGGUCCAUUUAGGAAGAAAAUAUAUUCUCAUUCAUGUAGGAUUAAGUUGCUGUGA